rnacentral:rRNA from 1 species
CAGAGCUAGCCCAGAUAACAACUAACCAAACUACCAUAGACCAAUUAAAUAAAACAUUCAAUAGCAUAAUUAAAGUAUAGGAGAUAGAAAUUCUUUUAAUCGGAGCUAUAGAGAGAGUACCGCAAGGGAAUGAUGAAAGAUUACUUAAAGUAACAAACAGCAAAGAUUACCCCUCCUACCUUUUGCAUAAUGAGUUAGCCAGAAGUAGCCUAACAAAGAGAACUUAAGCUAGGCCCCCCGAAACCAGACGAGCUACCUAUGAACAAUCCACUGGGGUGAACUCAUCUAUGUUGCAAAAUAGUGAGAAGAUUUAUAGGUAGAGGUGAAAAGCCUAACGAGCCUGGUGAUAGCUGGUUGCCCAGAAUAGAAUUUUAGUUCAACUUUAAACUUGCCUACAAAACUUAAAAAUUUUAAUGCAAGUUUAAAAUAUAUUCUAAAAAGGUACAGCUUUUUAGAAUCAAGGAUACAACCUUACUUAGAGAGUAAAUACUGAUUAAAUCAUAGUAGGCCUAGAAGCAGCCAUCAAUUAAGAAAGCGUUUAAGCUCAACACCCAUAUCAACUUGAUACCAAAAAUAUCUAAUUAACUCCUAAUAUAAUAACUGGGCUAAUCUAUUUAAAUAUAGAAGGAACAAUGCUAAUAUGAGUAACGAGAAGUACUUCUCCAACGCAUAAGCUUAUAACAGCAACGGAUAACCACUGAUAGUUAACAACAACGUAGAAAUAAUCCAACAAUAAAACACCUACCAAACCAAUUGUUAAUCCAACACAGGCAUGCGACUAAGGAAAGAUUAAAAGAAGUAAAAGGAACUCGGCAAA